rnacentral:rRNA from 1 species
AACGAACGCUGGCGGCAGGCCUAACACAUGCAAGUCGAACGCCGUAGCAAUACGGAGUGGCAGACGGGUGAGUAACACGUGGGAACGUACCUUUCGGUUCGGAAUAACCCAGGGAAACUUGGGCUAAUACCGGAUACGUGCGAGAGCAGAAAGAUUUAUCGCCGAAAGAUCGGCCCGCGUCCGAUUAGCUAGUUGGUGAGGUAAUGGCUCACCAAGGCGACGAUCGGUAGCUGGUCUGAGAGGAUGAUCAGCCACACUGGGACUGAGACACGGCCCAGACUCCUACGGGAGGCAGCAGUGGGGAAUAUUGGACAAUGGGCGCAAGCCUGAUCCAGCCAUGCCGCGUGAGUGAUGAAGGCCCUAGGGUUGUAAAGCUCUUUCGCCAGGGACGAUAAUGACGGUACCUGGAUAAGAAGCCCCGGCUAACUUCGU